rnacentral:rRNA from 1 species
GACGAACGCUGGCGGCGUGCCUAAUACAUGCAAGUAGAACGCAGUUGCGAACGGGUGAGUAACGCGUAGGUAACUGCCUGGUAGCGGGGGAUAACUAUUGGAAACGAUAGCUAAUACCGCAUACUACCAGAUGGACCUGCGUUGUAUUAGCUAGUUGGGUGGGUAACGGCUCACCAAGGCAACGAUACAUAGCCGCGCUUGGAGGGUGAGCGGCCACACUGGGACUGGGAGACGGCCCAGACUCCUACGGGAGGGAGCAGUAGGGAAUUUUCGGCAAUGGGGGGAACCCUGACCGAGCAAAGCCGCAUGAGGGAAGAAGGUUUUUGGAUCGGAAAGCUCUGUUGUUAAGGAAGCGGUACUUAACCAGAAAGGGACGGCUAACUACGUGCCAGCAGCCGCGGUAAUUC